UACGAAGGGGGCUAGCAUUGCUCGGAAUUACUGGGCGUAAAGGGCGCGUAGGCGGAUAUUUAAGUCAGGGGUGAAAGCCCGGGGCUCAACCUCGGAAUUGCCUUUGAUACUGGAUAUCUUGAGUUCGGGAGAGGUGAGUGGAAUACCGAGUGUAGAGGUGAAAUUCGUAGAUAUUCGGCGGAACACCAGUGGCGAAGGCGACUCACUGGCCCGAUACUGACGCUGAGGCGCGAAAGCGUGGGGAGCAAACAGG
rnacentral:rRNA from 1 species